CCUAGUUGAUCCUGCCAGUAGUCAUAUGCUUUUCUAAAAGAUUAAGUUAUUCAUGUGUAAGUAUGAACAAAUUCAGACUGUGAAACUACAAAUGGCUCAUUAAAUCAGUUAUAGUUUGUUUGAUGGUAUCAACUACUCAGAUAACUGUAGUAAUUCUAGAGAUAAUAUGUGCAACAAACCCUGACUUCAAAAAGGGAUUCAUUUAUUAGAUAAAAGGUUGAUGCGGGCUUUGCCCGUUGCUGUGAUAAUUCAUGAUAACUUAAUGGAUCGCACGACCAUUAUGCCGAUGAUGCAUCAUUCAAACUUUUUCCCUAUCAACUUUUAAUGGUAAGAUAGUGGCCUACCAUGUUGGUAACAGGUGAUGAAGAAUUAGGGUUCGAUUCCAAAGAGGGAGCCUAAAAAUGGCUACCACAUCCAAGGAAGGCAUUAGGCAUGCAAAUUACCCAAUCCUAACAUGGGGAGGUAGUGACAAUAAAUAAUAAUACUACACUCAAUGAUUCUGGUAGUUGGAAUAAGUACAAUCUAAAUCCCUUAACGAGGAUCUAUUAGAGUGAAAGUCUAGUGCCAGCAACUACGGUAAUCUAGCUCCAAUAGCGUAUAUUUAAGUUGUUACAGUUUAAAAGGCCGAAGUUAGACUUUGGGAUAAGUCGGUUGAUCCGUCUAUAGUAUGCACCAAUCGUGUCAUCCCUUCUGUCGGUGAUGUGCUCCUGGCCUUAACUGGUUUGGUUGUGCCUACGGUGUCGUUACUUUGAAGAUAUUAGAGUGUUCAAAGCAAGCCUUCGCUCUAUAUACAUUAGCAAUGGGAUAACAUUAUAGGAUUUCGAUUCUAUUACAUUGUCCUUCGAGAUCAGAGUAAUGAUUAACAGACAUGGUUAGCGGCAUUUGUAUUUCAUAGUCAGAGGUGAAAUUCUUGGAUUUAUGAUAGACAAACAACUGGGAAAGCAUUUUCCCAGGACUUUUUCAUUAAUCAAGAAUGAGACCUUAGCCUGCUAACUAGCUAUGCAGAGGUAUCCCUUGGCGGCCAGCUUCUCAGAGGGACUACGACCUAUUAGGCUGUAGAACUUUAAGGCAAUAAUAGGUUUGUGAUGCCCUUAGAUGUUCUAGGCUGAAUGUGCGCUACACUGAUGUAUUCAACGAGUUUAUAGCCUUGGCCGACUAGCUUGGGAAAUCAUUGAAAUUUCAUCGUGAUAAGGAUAUAUCAUUGCAAUUAUUGGUCUUCAAAGAGGAAUUCCUUGUAAGCGUACUCAUCAACUCGCAUUGACUAUGUCCUGCCCUUUUCACACACUUCCCUUUUCUCCUACCGAUUGAAUGAUAUGGUGAAAUAUUUGGAUCAUGGUGACAUGGGUGGUUCGCUGCCUGCAACAUCAUGAGAAGUCCACUGAACCUUAUCAUUUAGAGGAAGAAGAAUUCAUAACAAGAUUUUUGUAGGUGAACCUACAGGAUGAUCAUUG
rnacentral:rRNA from 1 species